AUCGCAAGGACAUGUGGAGCGCUUAGAAGUGAGAAUGCCGGUGUGAGUAGCGAAAGACGGGUGAGAAUCCCGUCCACCGAUUGACUAAGGUUUCCAGAGGAAGGCUCGUCCGCUCUGGGUUAGUCGGGUCCUAAGCUGAGGCCGACAGGCGUAGGCGAUGGAUAACAGGUUGAUAUUCCUGUACCACCAUUAUUCGUUUUAAGCGAUGGGGGGACGCAGUAGGAUAGGCGAAGCGUGCUGUUGGAGUGCACGUCCAAGCAGUGAGAUUGAGUGUUAGGCAAAUCCGGCACUCUUAAGAUUGAGCUGUGAUGGGGAGAGGAACUUGUUCCUCGAGUCGUUGAUUUCACACUGCCGAGAAAAGCCUCUAGCUAGAAUAACGGUGCCCGUACCGCAAACCGACACAGGUAGUCAAGAUGAGAAUUCUAAGGUGAGCGAGCGAACUCUCGUUAAGGAACUCGGCAAAAUGACCCCGUAACUUCGGGAGAAGGGGUGCUCUUUGAGGUUCACGCUUCGAAGAGCCGCAGUGAAUAGGCCCAAGCGACUGUUUAUCAAAAACACAGGUCUCUGCUAAACCGUAAGGUGACGUAUAGGGGCUGACGCCUGCCCGGUGCUGGAAGGUUAAGAGGAGUGGUUAGCGCAAGCGAAGCUACGAAUCGAAGCCCCAGUAAACGGCGGCCGUAACUAUAACGGUCCUAAGGUAGCGAAAUUCCUUGUCGGGUAAGUUCCGACCCGCACGAAAGGCGUAACGAUUUGGGCACUGUCUCAACGAGAGACUCGGUGAAAUCAUAGUACCGGUGAAGAUGCCGGUUACCCGCGACAGGACGGAAAGACCCCGUGGAGCUUUACUGUAGCCUGAUAUUGAAAUUCGGUACAGUUUGUACAGGAUAGGUAGGAGCCUUAGAAGCGUGAGCGCUAGCUUACGUGGAGGCAUUGGUGGGAUACUACCCUAAUUGUAUUGGAUUUCUAACCCGCAGCACUUAUCGUGCUGGGAGACAGUGUCAGGCGGGCAGUUUGACUGGGGCGGUCGCCUCCUAAAGAGUAACGGAGGCGCUCAAAGGUUCCCUCAGAAUGGUUGGAAAUCAUUCAUAGAGUGUAAAGGCAUAAGGGAGCUUGACUGCGAGACCUACAAGUCGAGCAGGGUCGAAAGACGGACUUAGUGAUCCGGUGGUUCCGCAUGGAAGGGCCAUCGCUCAACGGAUAAAAGCUACCCCGGGGAUAACAGGCUUAUCUCCCCCAAGAGUUCACAUCGACGGGGAGGUUUGGCACCUCGAUGUCGGCUCAUCGCAUCCUGGGGCUGUAGUCGGUCCCAAGGGUUGGGCUGUUCGCCCAUUAAAGCGGUACGCGAGCUGGGUUCAGAACGUCGUGAGACAGUUCGGUCCCUAUCCGUCGUGGGCGUAGGAAAUUUGAGAGGAGCUGUCCUUAGU
rnacentral:rRNA from 1 species